ACCGCCCGCCCCGUCCCGCCAUGGCGGCGGGAGUCUGAGGGAGUGCCUCCCCUCAGCGCCGGCACCGGCCGGGCUGCGGUAGCCCAGCUGCAACCCCUUCAGCGGUCACCGUUUGUGUCGCUCGGUGCCGCAUUUCCACGGCUCUGUAACACCUCCAACGACCCCAGCACCUCCGUGGGCGGCCUGUGCUGUUGUAUCACUGCUCUUUUGGAGUUUUCCUCACACCCAACCUGACCCUCCCCUGGCACAACUUGAUGCCAUCACCUCUCAUCCUAUGCUGUUACCCGGGAGCAGAGGCCGAUCCCACCUCACCACAGCCUCCUUUCAUGCAGUGACAGAGAGCGAUGAGGUCUCCCCUGAGCCCCUCUUCUCCACACUGCCCCAUCCCAUCCCCUCAGCCGCCCCCAUCACGCUGUGCCCCACACCCCGCACAGCCCCAUGCUCGGGACAAUAACCCCAUAGAUCCUCACCCCAUUGACCAAAGGGCAUUGCCCCUACUUGCACCUCCCUCACACGGCUGCAGCCCAGCCUCCCUAGCCAAGGCGAUGCUGCUUUGCUUAUGGAAAACCCAUUUGCAGAGAUGCCUCCUCAGCAUGGGAACCAGAGCGGGCUCGUUUUGCUGUCAAGCUCACAUUUUUGGCUUGGAAGGGCCAGCUUUCCUCAUGCUGGCGAGCGGCAGCCAGCUGCAGAACUGGCCAGGGAGGAUCUGAUGAAACACCGUGCUGAGAAGCUCCAGCUCAUCACAAUCGAAACUGCAAGAAAGCACAGGGCUCACUGAAUGCCUUAUCAAGAGAAUUCCUGUGGCAUGUAUGUACACGCAUAGGGCUGUGUGUGAUCCCGUGCUAGCUGGCAGCCCGCUGCUAAGAAGGUGCAUUUGACACAGUAGAGAUGUCUUUUCUUCUUGGGGGAAAGCUACAUUGGUUUGAGCUUUUUGCAUUUGCAAAAGUAGAGGUUGGUUUUGUUGUUGGUUUUGGUUUUGUUUUUUUUUUUUCCACCCAGACGAGGUUUUACAGCUCAAGGCAGAAGCAAUAAAGCACAAAUGGGUUUCAGA